rnacentral:rRNA from 1 species
UUUAUGGAGAGUUUGAUCCUGGCUCAGGAUGAACGCUGGCGGCGUGCCUAAUACAUGCAAGUCGAGCGAACGGACGAGAAGCUUGCUUCUCUGAUGUUAGCGGCGGACGGGUGAGUAACACGUGGAUAACCUACCUAUAAGACUGGGAUAACUUCGGGAAACCGGAGCUAAUACCGGAUAAUAUUUUGAACCGCAUGGUUCAAAAGUGAAAGACGGUCUUGCUGUCACUUAUAGAUGGAUCCGCGCUGCAUUAGCUAGUUGGUAAGGUAACGGCUUACCAAGGCAACGAUGCAUAGCCGACCUGAGAGGGUGAUCGGCCACACUGGAACUGAGACACGGUCCAGACUCCUACGGGAGGCAGCAGUAGGGAAUCUUCCGCAAUGGGCGAAAGCCUGACGGAGCAACGCCGCGUGAGUGAUGAAGGUCUUCGGAUCGUAAAACUCUGUUAUUAGGGAAGAACAUAUGUGUAAGUAACUGUGCACAUCUUGACGGUACCUAAUCAGAAAGCCACGGCUAACUACGUGCCAGCAGCCGCGGUAAUACGUAGGUGGCAAGCGUUAUCCGGAAUUAUUGGGCGUAAAGCGCGCGUAGGCGGUUUUUUAAGUCUGAUGUGAAAGCCCACGGCUCAACCGUGGAGGGUCAUUGGAAACUGGAAAACUUGAGUGCAGAAGAGGAAAGUGGAAUUCCAUGUGUAGCGGUGAAAUGCGCAGAGAUAUGGAGGAACACCAGUGGCGAAGGCGACUUUCUGGUCUGUAACUGACGCUGAUGUGCGAAAGCGUGGGGAUCAAACAGGAUUAGAUACCCUGGUAGUCCACGCCGUAAACGAUGAGUGCUAAGUGUUAGGGGGUUUCCGCCCCUUAGUGCUGCAGCUAACGCAUUAAGCACUCCGCCUGGGGAGUACGACCGCAAGGUUGAAACUCAAAGGAAUUGACGGGGACCCGCACAAGCGGUGGAGCAUGUGGUUUAAUUCGAAGCAACGCGAAGAACCUUACCAAAUCUUGACAUCCUUUGACAACUCUAGAGAUAGAGCCUUCCCCUUCGGGGGACAAAGUGACAGGUGGUGCAUGGUUGUCGUCAGCUCGUGUCGUGAGAUGUUGGGUUAAGUCCCGCAACGAGCGCAACCCUUAAGCUUAGUUGCCAUCAUUAAGUUGGGCACUCUAAGUUGACUGCCGGUGACAAACCGGAGGAAGGUGGGGAUGACGUCAAAUCAUCAUGCCCCUUAUGAUUUGGGCUACACACGUGCUACAAUGGACAAUACAAAGGGCAGCGAAACCGCGAGGUCAAGCAAAUCCCAUAAAGUUGUUCUCAGUUCGGAUUGUAGUCUGCAACUCGACUACAUGAAGCUGGAAUCGCUAGUAAUCGUAGAUCAGCAUGCUACGG